rnacentral:rRNA from 1 species
GACGAACGCUGGCGGCGUGCUUAACACAUGCAAGUCGAACGAAGAGCGAUGGAAGCUUGCUUCUAUCAAUCUUAGUGGCGAGCGGGUGAGUAACGCGUAAUCAACCUGCCCUUCAGAGGGGGACAACAGUUGGAAACGACUGCUAAUACCGCAUACGAUCUAACCUCGGCAUCGAGGAAAGAUGAAAGGUGGCCUCUAUGUAUAAGCUAUCACUGAAGGAGGGGAUUGCGUCUGAUUAGCUAGUUGGAGGGGUAACGGCCCACCAAGGCGAUGAUCAGUAGCCGGUCUGAGAGGAUGAACGGCCACAUUGGGACUGAGACACGGCCCAGACUCCUACGGGAGGCAGCAGUGGGGAAUCUUCCGCAAUGGACGAAAGUCUGACGGAGCAACGCCGCGUGAGUGAUGACGGCCUUCGGGUUGUAAAGCUCUGUUAAUCGGGACGAAAGGCCUUCUUGCGAAUAGUGAGAAGGAUUGACGGUACCGGAAUAGAAAGCCACGGCUAACUACGUG